rnacentral:tRNA from 1 species
GCCUCGGUAGUCUAAAGGCUUAGGACGCUCGCACGGAAUGCCAGAGAUCCGGGUUCGACUCCCGGCCGAGGUA